rnacentral:rRNA from 1 species
GUCGAGCGGAAACGACAACAUUGACUCUUCGGAUGAUUUGUUGGGCGUCGAGCGGCGGACGGGUGAGUAAUGCCUAGGAAGUUGCCCGGUAGAGGGGGAUAACCAUUGGAAACGAUGGCUAAUACCGCAUAAUCUCUAUGGAGCAAAGCAGGGGACCUUCGGGCCUUGUGCUACCGGAUACGCCUAGGUGGGAUUAGCUAGUUGGUGAGGUAAUGGCUCACCAAGGCGACGAUCCCUAGCUGGUCUGAGAGGAUGAUCAGCCACACUGGAACUGAGACACGGUCCAGACUCCUACGGGAGGCAGCAGUGGGGAAUAUUGCACAAUGGGCGAAAGCCUGAUGCAGCCAUGCCGCGUGUAUGAAGAAGGCCUUCGGGUUGUAAAGUACUUUCAGUUGUGAGGAAGGGGGUAAGCUUAAUACGCUUAUCUCUUGACGUUAGCAACAGAAGAAGCACCGGCUAACUCCGUGCCAGCAGCCGCGGUAAUACGGAGGGUGCGAGCGUUAAUCGGAAUUACUGGGCGUAAAGCGCAUGCAGGUGGUUCAUUAAGUCAGAUGUGAAAGCCCGGGGCUCAACCUCGGAACUGCAUUUGAAACUGGUGAACUAGAGUACUGUAGAGGGGGGUAGAAUUUCAGGUGUAGCGGUGAAAUGCGUAGAGAUCUGAAGGAAUACCAGUGGCGAAGGCGGCCCCCUGGACAGAUACUGACACUCAGAUGCGAAAGCGUGGGGAGCAAACAGGAUUAGAUACCCU